CUGAAGGAUCACGGCGAAAGAGCCCGAUUGCGUGUCAACGUGCACGCCGAAAUGUAGCCACGGAUCUGAGGCGCUAAGUUUUCGAUUUGUCGUGGCGCGUAAGUUCAUGGCGUCGGUGCGUUUUGCCACUUACGCAUUGCAAGUGUGUCCUCAGAUUCUCUGGACCGGCGUUCUUGAGGACCUCGGACGGCCCAAUAUGCUGGGGCCCCUGCAUGGCGCUAUGCCGGUGGCCCCGGGGGUGUUUCGUGCCCUCAGUAAAUGCGGAUGUGUUCUCCUUUCGGCAGUGCGCUAGCUACUUCCACUCAACAAUGUUUCGCGUCAAAGUGUAGCCGCUGCUGCUAGAAAACAGGCUCUUCGGCAGAGGUAAAAAAACAAAACUUUUAUUGGUUCUUUGGACGCUGUACACUGAUGAUAUCUCCCGUUUUGUUUCCGGUGGCUUGGCGGGAAAAGGUACGUAGUUCCGGUGAUCGGGACGCGCCUCCUCAUUUCCACUCUCCGCUCUGCUCUUGACGUGCGCGGGUGUUCGACAUCGGCUACUCCGAUGGCUCGUCGUUGUCCUACAGGAGAAAAAAGUGUCAGUACUAUCGCUUGCUCUGUCUGCGCCCGAGAGGCUGGCGGAAAACGCACUUACCAAAGGAAACAGGCUCCUCAUCCCGCUGUGACGUAUGGCUAUGCAUGGGGCGUGUUCCGGGUACGGAGGCUUCAGUCCCACGGUUCGCAUUUGGAGUUUCUCCCUCCGUGUUACACUUGCGUGACGUCAUUUACGAACUGGAAGUUUCUGACCGCUGCGCGGCAAGUCUUUGAGCCUUCACUCUAAGUGAACUCCGCAAUAUACUGGGCUAGAGAGCAGUCAUCUCUGACCGACUUGAUUGUGUUCUGGAAAAAGCGAAGAAACAGGAUUAAACUGAGCGCGUUCUGUGCCACCUGUUUCGCCUGGCAGCGUGGCAUACUUGAUGUCCGUCGCCUGCCGAUUUAGGUCCAUACCUUGAGAAGCCGGUUGCGUGUUUCGAUGUUCUGGGUAUGCACGCCGGCGUCUGUUAUCGAAACGAACCUGCAAAAAAAAA
rnacentral:lncRNA from 1 species